rnacentral:lncRNA from 1 species
AAUAAUAUAAUCCAACAAUAAUAACAGCACAACACAUAGUCCAAGUUGUCCAACAAUAUAAUCCAACAAUAAUAACAGCAUAGCACAAUACAUAGUCCAACAAUAUAUAACAUAUUCUCAGGCUCUCACCAGUCAGCACAACACAUAGUCCAACAAUAAUAACCUGACAUGUUCAUAUUAUUACACUUUAAGACAUAGACACAACACAUGAUCAGGAGCAUCUUGACAUGUUCGGAGAAUCAUGAUCAUCCCAAGUUUCCAACUCCCAAGUUCCAGCCAGCCAAGCCAGCCAGGUGAUGUGCAAAUCUGUGUACAUGAAUCAAUUACUUGCAGUAGUGUACAUGAAUCAAUAGUGCAAAUCUGUAGUGUACAUGAAUUAGUUACAUGAAUCAAUAGUGUACAUGAAUCAAUAGUGCAAAUCUGUAGUGUACAUGAAUCAAUUACAUGAAUCAAUAGUGUACAUGAAUGAUGAAUCAAUAGUGCAAAUCUAUGUACAUGAAUCAAUUACUUGCAAUAGUGUACAUGAUUCAAUAGUGCAAAUCUGUAGUGUACAUGAAUCAAUAGUGCAAAUCUGUGUACAUGAAUCAAUAGUACACCAAUAAUAACAUGAACAAGAGCAAAACAAUUACUUGCAACUCACUUACCAACGUUAAGUAGAGG